rnacentral:rRNA from 1 species
AACGAACGCUGGCGGCAGGCCUAAAACAUGCAAGUCGAACGAACCUUCGGGUUAGUGGCGCACGGGUGCGUAACGCGUGGGAAUAUACCUCUGGGUGCGGAACAACGUUUGGAAACGAACGCUAAUACCGCAUAAUAUCUACGGAUCAAAGAUUUAUCGCCCAGAGAUUAGCCCGCGUCUGAUUAGCUAGUUGGUGAGGUAGUGGCUCACCAAGGCGACGAUCAGUAGCUGGUCUGAGAGGAUGAUCAGCCACACUGGAACUGAGACACGGUCCAGACUCCUACGGGAGGCAGCAGUUAGGAAUAUUGGACAAUGGGGGAAACCCUGAUCCAGCCAUGCCGCGUGUGUGAAGAAGGCCUUAGGGUUGUAAAGCACUUUCAGCCGUGAAGAUAAUGACAGUAGCGGAAGAAGAAGCUCCGGCUAAAUUCGUGCCAGCAGCCGCAGUAA